AUGACUCUAUUGGCUGCAGUGAUCAUCACAGAGAGAGCAGAGUCUUUAGAGCAGGAGGUUUUUGUACAGGCACUAAAUGAGUUUGUAUCACUGUGGUACACUUUUGGUGGAGGAACGAAACUGUCAGUUGGCCGUUUGGCAUCACCCACCCUCACAGUCCUGCCCCCCUCUAGCGAGGGGCUGCUGCAGGGGAAGGUCACACUGGUCUGUUUGGCCAACAAGGGCUUCCCCUCAGACUGGAGGCUGAGCUGGAAGGUGGGUGGGAGCAGCUGGAGCUCGGGGGUUAGCCAGAGCCCCGGGCUUCUGCAGAAGGACGACGGCCUCUACAGCUGGAGCAGCACCCUGACCCUCCAGGAGGAGCAGUGGCUAAAGAACACAGUGACCUGUGAGGCCACCAAGGACUCCCAGCCUACUAUCAGCCAGACACUGAGGAGAGAUCAGUGCUGAGCAGUGAGAACCACGCGGGGGUUUCAGCUGAUAGAGCUCCUCUCACUCUCAAAUGAGCUCAAACACGUCUGUGAUUAAUGCUGGAAUGAUGAUCUGAUUAUUUGACUAAAGAAAAUAAAGCGUUUCAAUCAACAACACUGUAUGUUUUAUUGUCUGAAGGUAGAUUUUUUCUUCUUUAUCAGAAUCAGAAAUGCUAUAUAGAGUCUUUAAUUCUGUAGGAAAACAUUUCCAGGCACAUCUAAUGAUCUACAGAAGUUCAUUAAUGAUCACGAAGGAGAUCAAUCAGGGAUUAAAGUAUCUGUAAAUUAUUUUUUUCAGGAAAUUUAAUUUAACUUUAAAAUAUAUUCAGAUAUAAUGUAAAUAAAGAAGGUGCAUAUUUUUUUAACAUCGUCAGUGAACAUUAAGUAUUUAUAUAAAUGGUAUUAUAUUGAUUUAUUUGUUAAUGUAUAUAAUCACAGUAUUCAGGCCACAGUCUCCUCUGUAUCUGUAGUCAGUUAAUGCUAG